AUUGAACGCUGGCGGCAGGCCUAACACAUGCAAGUCGAACGAGUGGCGGACGGGUGAGUAAUGUUUCGGAACCUGCCUGAUGGCGGGGGAUAACUACUGGAAACGGUAGCUAAUACCGCAUACCAUCAGAUGUGCCCUGAUGGGCUUAGCUAGUUGGUGGGGUAACGGCUCACCAAGUCGACGAUCCCUAGCUGGUCUGAGAGGAUGACAAGCAACACUGGAACUGAGACACGGUCCAGACUCCUACGGGAGGCAGCAGUGGGGAAUAUUGCACAAUGGGCGCAAGCCUGAUGCAGCAAUGCCGCGUGUAUGAAGAAGGCCUUCGGGUUGUAAAGUACUUUCAGCGGGGAGGCGUUACCCGCAGAAGAAGCACCGGCUAACGCCGUGCCAGCAGCCGCGGUAAUAC
rnacentral:rRNA from 1 species